rnacentral:rRNA from 1 species
GACGAAGGGGGCUAGCGUUGUUCGGAAUUACUGGGCGUAAAGCGCGUGUAGGCGGUUGUUCAAGUCAGGUGUGAAAGCCCUCGGCUCAACUGAGGAAGUGCACCCGAAACUGGCGAGCUUGAGUACGAAAGAGGAUCGCGGAAUUCCCGGUGUAGAGGUGAAAUUCGUAGAUAUUGGGAAGAACACCAGUGGCGAAGGCGACAUACUGGUCCGUUACUGACGCUGAGGCUCGAAAGCGUGGGGAGCAAACAGG